rnacentral:rRNA from 1 species
UACGAAGGGGGCUAGCGUUGCUCGGAAUCACUGGGCGUAAAGCGCACGUAGGCGGAUUGUUAAGUCAGGGGGUGAAAUCCUGGAGCUCAACUCCAGAACUGCCUUUGAUACUGGCGAUCUUGAGUCCGGGGAGAGGUGAGUGGAACUGCGAGUGUAGAGGUGAAAUUCGUAGAUAUUCGCAAGAACACCAGUGGCGAAGGCGGCUCACUGGCCCGGUACUGAC